CUAUCUGCAUGUUGUUUGUAUUUGAGCAGUUCGCUGGAUGUCCAUGAUAAUGAGAAGGACAUCCAGCGAACUGCUCAAAUACAAACAGCAUGCGGAUAG
rnacentral:pre_miRNA from 1 species